AAGAUUUGUGCAUUGUUGCCAAAAAGUUACAUAGGAACCUUAUAAAUAUGGUUAAAAAAAUGCAGAAACGUUUAGGGGUUGUUUGGACAAUUGAAGAUCUUAUUAGUCCAAUAGGAUCUUCAUCUUGUACUUAAAGAAUAUAUAGAAAACAUUCGCUUGAAGAGAAAUCAUAGUAUCCAUGAUAGUUAAUCUCUAUUUUUUAGGGAUAAUUCCUUUCCAAGGUGAUUUAGCUUUCCCAUGAUAAAAAGGGACUAGUUGUUCCCUAGCUUCCCUGAUUGCUUUGAACCACCUCCCAACUACUUAUUUUCAAAACAUCAGCCUCGGACAGGAAGAUCUUAGUGGACCGAUAAAAUGUGCCCCUAAUGAGCUGUUUGGAAGCCAAUGUGGAUUAUCUGUGGAUUGCUUUUCAAGAUGGAAAUCUUCCUCUGAGGAUAUGUGAUGAAAGAGGAGUCUCAAGGAAU
rnacentral:lncRNA from 1 species